rnacentral:rRNA from 1 species
UACGUAGGGGGCGAGCGUUGUCCGAAGUUACUGGGCGUAAAGCGCACGUAGGCGGUUAUCUAAGUCUGGGGUGAAAGGUUCAGUGCUUAACGCGAACAGUGCCUUGGAGACUGGAUGACUUGAGUUUGGGAGAGGGUAGUGGAAUGGCUGGUGUAGCGGUGAAAUGCGCAGAUAUCAGGAAGAACACCCGUGGCUAAGGCGGCUCUCUAGUACGGUACUGACGCUGAGACGCGAAAGCGUGGGGAGCAAACAGG